ACCGUGCCCUGCUGGGUGGAAUUUUUUAAUUGCAAAUAAUAUAAACCAAUUUAUAUAGCUUAAAGAAAGUGGAGCUUACUCCGACAGUACAGAGCUGUCUCACAAAAGUGACAGCAGGGACCCACCAGGCCUCAGGAGUCAACCAGAACCAAGAAAUCAACUGCUGUUGUUGCUGCUUCUGCUGUACCCCGGCCUCUGAAUUUUCUCUUGCCCGUGAACUUGGCAGCCCACAGAGCUAAGGCUGAUAGUUCCUCUUUUUGACAGCGCAGCCAGACAGAGAUGAGUCUCCUAGACUCAAUUAUAUAUUUGCAUGUAAGAGACCUGACACAGGAGGUUCUUAUUUCCCCCUCAUUGAGUCUGGGCUGGCCGUGUGGCUGUUCAACCAACAGAAAGCAGCAGAAGUGUACUGUGCAGUCCGGGGCCCAGGCUUUUAGAGAACUGUGGCUUUCUCUGCCUCCUUCUUGGAAUCCACUUACCAUGUUGAGAGGGGCCCAAGCCACAUAGAGGCCAACAGCCAAGUAUUUGCAGCCAUCUGGGUGAGCCAUCUAGGACAUUCCACGCCAAUCAGACCCCUGGAUUGGAGCAGUGGAGCAGACAUGGAGCAGAUGCAGCCCAGCGAAGGCCAGUAUCACAGGCCAGAACAAAAUGUUUUAAGCCAUUAAAUUUUGGUGUGACUUGCUCUGCAGCCAGAUAACUGAAAUAGGUGUAACCGAAAAGUCCGUAAGAAGGAAGAUUUACCUUGCUGACCAAUGCAGAAUAACAAAGCACAGGAAAUAACAUUUGCUGGGUCGGAAGACAACUGUCUGGAACAGGUGAUGACAUCCUUAGCCUUUAGUAGGUUUUGACUUCAAAACUGACCCCGGCUUUCAUGCCUCUUUUUGAUGCUCAACACGGACAAUUUCAAAAAGAAAAAAUUUCACUUUAAUCCAGCCUCACCCCCACAUGUGUGUUUCACACAGACCUUAUUUUUUAAACAGAGU
rnacentral:lncRNA from 10 species